ensembl:processed_transcript
UCUAUACCUUAGCUGUGUCCACUACUCCGUCAUUGGAUUCUCCAGGGCUACUCCAGAGAUGUAGAAACCCAGCUGAAAAUCCAUAGGAUAAUCGCACCAGGUUUCCAGGUUUGUAGAAAUACUUUACACAAGACAUUACAUCGGGUGUGUCUUUAACAUACUUUGGAUCCACCUGGAACAAAAUCAGGUAUUUGUGAGUCGUUAACGUAAAACGUGCAUGCAACUUUAUUUUUAGCAUUUCCUAAAUACCAGCGUUAAACUGCGGUGAUCAUGUAACAGAGGAAAAGUGGCGAUUAGAAUAUGCUCUGUAGUUCAAUGUGUGUGACGCUGUGGUGACUGUGGUCUAUGUAGUUAUGUCUUAAUCCAAUAUUUUAGACAAUUUCCAGUUUAAGGUCAAACCGGAGAAUGGAGUUUAUAGUUCCUGUAUACUUGAUGCAUUAGUUCCAGAUAUUAAUGACAUCAAAUGCAAAGGAGAUCAGCAUUUAUUAAGCAAGGUUUGUGCUUUCAGUUAUUUACUUUACAUCUUAUCAAUCCCCCUCCCCUCCUCAUCUCGGUGUUUUGCUCGUGUUUUUGUCCUCCUACAUUUCUGGCACUCAAAGAGGACAGUGGUUUUAGUUGAUAAUUGAGUGAAGAUGCAACUGUAAAACCAUUUUGACAUUGGCAUUUUUUUGAAAAGAGAGAUGUUCAACUCUUAUUCUUAAAGCACAUGUUUUACAUAGACCCUCUUAAAGGCACAAACGUAUGGGGUUUUGAUAAACUGAAUGUAAACAAACAUGUUUCAGGACACUAUUUGUUGACACGUUUAUUUUCUUUGUCCACAGAGGGUAAACAGUGGAAUGAUUUAAGUAAAAUCCCACUUCUAAGAGCAGCUGCUUGAUGAACUUCUGCUGCAGCUGUGUAUCCAGUUGCUCUGAAAAAUGAAGGAUGAAAUCCGUCAGUGACUUUGUCUGGCAGAGAUUGCUUUGCAACAUGUAUGCAAGAUGCCUGUGGGCCUACAAGAAGCAAGAAUGUCCAUGACCAACGGUGAUGGCAGUGAUGCUGUUCUCUGUCUCUGGGAGAUGGCUUCAAAUGGAUCUUUUGACUGUAGCGGGAUCGGAAGGGAAGUUGUUAAAGGCGGCUGAAUCUUUUGCACUUGUGCUUAUGGACAAGAAUGAACAUUUAAAUGAAUGUUUGAUGUGAUUUCAAUAAAA